CCUACGGGUGGCAGCAGUGAGGAAUAUUGGUCAAUGGACGAGAGUCUGAACCAGCCAAGUAGCGUGAAGGAUGACUGCCCUAUGGGUUGUAAACUUCUUUUAUAUGGGAAUAAAAUGUUCCACGUGUGGGAUUUUGUAUGUACCCUAUGAAUAAGGAUCGGCUAACUCCGUGCCAGCAGCCGCGGUAAUACGGAGGAUCCGAGCGUUAUCCGGAUUUAUUGGGUUUAAAGGGCGCGUAGGGGGAUUGUUAAGUCAGUUGUGAAAGUUUGCGGCUCAACCGUAAAAUUGCAGAUGAAACUGGCAGUCUUGAGUACAGUAGAGGUGGGCGGAAUUCGUGGUGUAGCGGUGAAAUGCUUAGAUAUCACGAAGAACUCCGAUUGCGAAGGCAGUUCACUGGACUGCAACUGACACUGAGGCUCGAAAGUGUGGGUAUCAAACAGGAUUAGAUACCCGAGUAGUC
rnacentral:rRNA from 1 species